GGCUCAGAAUGAACGUUGGCGGCGUGGAUUAGGCAUGCAAGUCGAGCGCGAUAUUUUUGAAAGAUACUUCGGUUGAUUUCUUAAAUGGAAAGCGGCGAAAGGGAGAGUAACGAGUAGAUACGUACCCAGGGGUCCGGGAUAGCCAUGCGAAAGCGUGAGUAAUACCGGAUAAUGUCUCCGGACCAAAUAUUUAUAGCCCUUGGAGCGGUCUGCUUACUAUUAGCUUGUUGGUGGGGUAAAGGCCUACCAAGGCGAAGAUGGUUAGCGGGUGUGAGAGCAUGGCCCGUCUCACUGGGACUGAGACACUGCCCAGACAUCUACGGAUGGCUGCAGUCGAGAAUCUUCCGCAAUGGACGAAAGUCUGACGGAGCGACGCCGCGUGAUGGACGAAGGCCCUCGGGUUGUAAACAUCUGUCGUAGGGGAGGAAAUUUUGACCGAUCCUAGGAGGAAGCACAGGCUAAGUUCGUGCCAGCAGCCGCGGUAAUACGAACUGUGCAAACGUUAUUCGGAAUCACUGGGCUUAAAGGGUGCGUAGGCGGGUUAGUAGGUCAGAUGUGAAAUCCCACGGCUCGACCGUGGAGCUGCGUUUGAAACCCCUAGUCUUGAGGGGAUCAGAGGAGAGCGGAACUGAUGGUGGAGCGGUGAAAUGCGUUGAUAUUAUCAGGAACACCGGUGGCGAAGGCGGCUCUCUGGGAUCUUUCUGACGCUGAGGCACGAAAGCUAGGGGAGCGAACGGGAUUAGAUACCCCGGUAGUCCUAGCUGUAAACGAUCUGUACUAGUCCGUGGGGACCCCCACAUCUUCUCGGACGUAGCGAAAGUGUUAAGUACAGCGCCUGGGGAGUAUGGUCGCAAGGCAA
rnacentral:rRNA from 1 species